rnacentral:rRNA from 1 species
UACGUAGGGGGCAAGCGUUGUCCGGAUUUAUUGGGCGUAAAGAGCUCGUAGGCGGCUUGGCAAGUCGGGUGUGAAAACUUCAGGCUCAACCUGGAGCGGCCACUCGAUACUGCUAUGGCUUGAGUCCGGUAGGGGACCACGGAAUUCCCAGUGUAGCGGUGAAAUGCGUAGAUAUUGGGAAGAACACCGGUGGCGAAGGCGGCUACCUGGACCGGUACUGACGCUGAGGCGCGAAAGCCAGGGGAGCGAAUGGG